AACGAACGCUGGCGGCAUGCCUAACACAUGCAAGUCGAACGAGACCUUCGGGUCUAGUGGCGCACGGGUGCGUAACGCGUGGGAACCUUCCCUUAGGUUCGGAAUAACUCCCCGACAGGGGUGCUAACACCGAAUAAUAUCUUCGGCCCAAAGAUUUAUCGCCUUUGGAUGGGCCCGCGUUGGAUUAGCUAGUUGGUAGGGUAAAAGCCUACCAAGGCGACGAUCCAUAGCUGGUCAGAGAGGAAGAUCAGCCACACUGAGACGGAGACACGGCCCAGACUCCUACGGGAGGCAGCAGUGGGGAAUAUAGGACAAUGGGCGAAAGCAUGAUGCAGCAAUGCCGCGUGAGUGAUGAAGGCCUUAGAGUUGUAAAGCUCUUUUACCCGGGAUGAUAAUGACAGUACCGGGAGAAUAAGCUCCGGCUAACUCCGUG
rnacentral:rRNA from 1 species